CCACUGUGACGUAACACGUCAGAAAACGUCAUAGACACCGCCCACUCGGCGAACUGUCUCCGAGCGGAGCCGGGCUGGAUUGGAUUGGACCCCUGGGCGGGAAAGGACGGACGGGUUAAGUAGCCAAUCACCAAUUGCGCUCCAGCCAGAGGGGCGAUGUUCUUGGGGAGCCUGGGGAUCUGGAAGAAGUUCAGUGUGAGGACGAGUGUUAGGAAAUAAGGCUGAAGACAGAGGCAACCCUGGAGGAUCUUCUAACCCAUGUCAAGCAGUUGAGAAUUUAUGGAGUGAAAUAGCAAGCCAUUGAAGAGUUUCAAGCUUUCAUCCAGCUUUUAAGGGAAACUAAUAUCUCAUGAAAUUGUGAGGGCCUGGAAUCUUCAAAGAGCCAAGGAUUCUGCCAGACUGAGCAAUAGACUUGAUGAGCAUUCUCCACUUAAGAUCUGAACUAUGAGAAGUCGAAUCAAAGCAGUUCUUUUGUAAUUCCAAACAGCCAUUUAGACAUAUGAAGAAAUGAAAGUAAAGCAGUUCUAAAGACAAGGAAGAGGGUCAAUGAAAGGUGCUCCCAAUGCAAUCACAAAGAUCUUUAAAAGUGGAAGAAGGUGGGAGAGGUCAGAGUGAUACGAAGAGAACUCAGUCUACCACUGCUGGCUUUGAAGAUGGAAGAAUGGGGCUAUGAGCCCUGGAUUGCGGGCAGCCUGCAGAAGCUGGGGCAGAGAUUCCACACAGGCACCUCUAGAAAAUAAUGCAGCCAGCCAAUCCUUAGACUUUAUCCCAGUGAGAGUCAAGUUGGACUUCUGACCUACAAAAGAGUAAAUAUCUAAAUUAUCUGUGGCAACAACUUGGUGGGGUCAACUCGAAUGUUUUUGUCGGCUGUUCUUGAAGACUUCUGGGUCUCUACAACCACAUUCUUUGGCUGGUGCCAGUGUUUAAGCACUCUGAAACUGCAUAGCAGCAUGUUUGAAGGUGGCCUGUCAAAUUUGGGAAACUGACGGUGUGACUGAGCUAGUCACAGGGGUCUUCACAGAAAAGGCAGUCGGGGUCCUGGUCAACUGGAGAUUCCAUCUGAAUGAGUGAAGUCAUUAAGACUAGAGCUCCAGGCUUCUUCAUCCAACUCCAAGGGUUCCCAGCAACAUGUGAAGUCCUCUAUCUGUCACUAAGAAGCCGUAUGAGAAGAAUACACCUUGGCAGCUGCUGGAUCAAGGCAAAUGAGAGACCCAUGGAGCUCACUAAAUCCAACUCUACAGCUUGGAGCUAAGCCUAACUUAGCCAAGUCUAAACCAGUUUGACCUCAGCCAAUUCACAGAUGUUUGAGCCAGAAGUAAGGUGCUUGUUGCUGGAAGCCAGUUAAAUUUUGAGAUCUUUUUGAAAAAUAUAUUGUCAUUGCAGACAUAGAUGCACAUAGUUUUCCACACUGUGGGAAGUCAAAUUAAGCAUGCUUAGACUUUUAAAGCAGAAGCCCAUUAUUAGUGGGGUGGCAAAAAUGUUACAAGUGACAUAGUCCUCCAAUUUCCUUCUUCUAGCCCUCUGCCUAAGAACUAGUGUACUUCAUUUUGAAGUGGAGCCCUAACGGGAGUGUUCAUCUUCUGUCAACAGGGUUAAGCCUCUUGACGCUUACUGGGCACUCACAGUUGUUAGUUCCCUGGAAGACAUGAAAGAGCUUGAUUGGUUCUGUAGUCGUCAGUCAAUAACCAACUGUAACAUACCUACACUUCCAACAAAAUCUUGAUUUGGGAAAUUGAGUGUCUGCUUAUAGUUAAUCCUCUAUUUUUUGACACCUAGUAGGAAAAACAUUUUCAAAAGAGCCAUGACCUGACUCAGUUAAUAUGCAAGGAAAAAUAAGCAGUUCCAAACUUGUCAGUUUAUCCAUCAUCCCUUAUCCAAAAUCCUUCAACUCUCUUGGAAUUAUUUUGUUCUUCAUACUUGCCCAACAAAUAUCUUACUCUUGUCUUGGACUUUAUUUUAUAGUUAUCUCACAUAAGCUCCUUGUGGCUAAGGGCACAUAUUUGGAAUCAGACUACCCUAGUUCAACUCUUGGGUCUACCAUUUAUUAGCUUGUAUUACUUUGGGAAAGAUAAUUAAAUUCUCCAGAUCUAAUUUCCCCCAUUAUAAGAUAAUAAUAGUUAUUACCUGCUAGGAUUGUCUUGAGAAGUAAAUUAGAUAAUUCAUAAGAACCAUUUAACACAGUGCCAGCCACAUAAUGAAGGCAUAGUAAGGGAAAGUUAUUAUGCUGUUGAUAAUACUUGUCUAGGCAGGGGUCUCAUAUUUUUCCCUGUAUCCAUUACUGUACAAUUCAUCUGUCCCAUGACAUUCUAAGAUUGUUUUAGAGUGAGUUGCUUCAGAGUUGAAUAAUUCUAAUAAUAUAUUCUCAUGUUUGGAAACAACUUGGAAUUCCAUUUAGUGUAGACAUCAACAAUGAAAUCGCUAGAGGAUGAGUAAUUUCUACAAUUUUUAUUCAUUAUAGAGAGACCAAUGGGUAUAAUGGUGAAAAGAACUGAGUAGAAGGUCAGGAGGUCAAAGAGACUGAGUUUAAACCCUCACUCUGCUGAGUACUGUUAAUAAUGGUAUGAUCUUAAGAGAACUAAUCUUUAGUUUUUCCCACCUUAAAAACAGAGUUGUCAUGAGUAUUUAAUAAUAGAGGGUAGUAUGUAAACUUCCUGGCAUAUAGCAACUGCUCAACAAAUAGAAGUUAUAGUUUUUUCUUAACUUGCCAAAGAGCCAAGGGAAAAAUGAAGAUUUUGUAGCCAAAGCCAUUUAUCUUUCUCUGUUAUGUGCCUAUCUGUUCCAGAAACAGAAUCAAUUCCUUGAACCUCAUCAAAGGAAGGAUUUGAACAUUUAAAAAAAAAUCAAUCUCUUUGGGUUUGUUAUUGCUUGUUUCCCAUACCUCAGAGACACAAAUACAAACCUUUAUAAUGUCAUCAGGAAGAAGAGGAGUCAAACACUCCUUAACUCAAUAAUUGCAAUGUUAUUAUUUUGCAAGGAAUAGAGUCAAAAUUCCAUUCACAUGAGGACUGUAACUUCUUCAUUACUCCUUGAGGCACGAUGUCCUUGAUUUUAAGUAGCUCAUGUAGAAACUAGUUGUAAGUCUUUAGCGGAGAGACUGUACUGGAAUUAUAGGAUCUACUUAGGGGUUUGAGCUUCCCCACCCACUUAGAGUGACAGUUCACACCUAUAAAAACACAAAAGUCCGGGGGUUUAUUAAACAUUAGGAGAUCCAAAGAGCCAAGACUUCUACCUGUAAAAGUGGUGCUUCCUAAGCAGAAGAAAUGGAAUUUCUCAGAGAAUACAGCUUGGCUUGACCAAUGGACUGUACAAGGAAGAUUAGGAGGUAAUUACUGGGGUAAAAGAGAAAUGGUUGCAUCUUUCUGGAACACUCUAAUAAAACUGAAAGUUUUUCCUGAUUUCUUCUUUUAUUUGAUACAAGGGUCAAAUUUGAUACAUAAAGUCAUAAUGUCCCACAUGUACUUCUCAGGAACAUCUGUUUAGUCCUACUACAAAACUUGGGGAACAUGGUUUCCUAAUGUGGUACCAGUCGUCUCUUCAUGGAUGACUUCAGGAAGAAAUUCUGACUGGCAGACUCCACAAGUAUAAGACAAUAAGAGGCCAAUUUCUUUAUUCUUCUCCUCUUCUCCGCUUGUCCCCCCACCUCAUUAGCUUUGGGAGAAUAACACAGUGUGGAACAGAAAAAUAAGGAGCCUUGUUGUACUUCAUUGGCCUCAAGAGGUCUCAUCUAUUAAAUAGAUCCAUUAUGUUACUCUCAGAGAAAAUUAUAGUCAAAAAUAUUUCAAGUUUUAGGGCAGUACUGAAUAUAUAAGGGCUCUGUUACUUAAUCUCUGUGCUCUUAUCUUGGGGCGGCAAAGCUCAGUAGGGCUAUCUUGAAAGUAGCCUGAAAUCAAUUGGUCAGAUGAAAUCAAUUGGUCAGGAGGAGCCCAUCAGGAGGAUCAAGGACAUGGGUGACACAGUGAGUGUAAUUAUUAGUCAGGAUAGGUUAGGUUAGGCAUUAGUGGCAAAUUAUCUCCAAAUCUCAGUGGCUUGGUACAAUAAAGGCUUAUUGCUUAUUCAUGCAGCAUGUCUACUGCAGGUCCACAAGGGCUCUGUUCCACUCACAGAUCCAGAUUGUAACAUUCUUUGCCAUCUCAUAGCUACAUGAUCUAAACAUCAGCAGAAGGAAAGUGUCUUGGGUCAGGCUACCUGGAAAACAGAUCAAGAUAAAGAUUUCUGUGCAAAAAGGUUAUUGGGGAGGGAACUCUAAUUGAUAUCUGCCAGGGAUAGUGCAAGAAUGGUUGAGCAGACAAUUGUUGAACUACUUACUAUGUAUGUAGUAACAACAAAGGUCUUGACCAACCCAAAAGGGAGUCCUGGAGCUCAAAUGGUUCUUCACAGUUCUCUCACCUUAAGGCAAGGGACCUGGGCCUUUAUUAUCCCUUAUCAACCAGUCAUUUGAUUAGCUUGACCCCAGAGAGAGGUUAUGACCUUGAGUAAAGUGGCUCUCCUCUACUGAGGAUAAUUCCAGGAGAGCAACUCAGCUGAGAGCUGUCAGCAAUGGGAGGAAUCAGAGUCUCAGUCCUGAAGAGCAGAUCUGGGCAGCAUAUCAUAGCAUCCACCACAAGGGGGAAAGUGCGUGCACUUUUCAUUGCCUCCACCUGGGAGUGACAUAUGCCAUUUUUUGCUGUCAUUUCAAUGACCAAAAGGAGUCACAUGAUUCUAAUUGGAAGGAACCUGGG
rnacentral:lncRNA from 10 species